AUUGAACGCUGGCGGCAGGCCUAACACAUGCAAGUCGAACGAGUGGCGGACGGGUGAGUAAUGUCUGGGAAACUGCCUGAUGGAGGGGGGUAACUACUGGAAACGGUAGCUAAUACCGCAUACCAUCGGAUGUGCCCAGAUGGGAUUAGCUAGUAGGUGGGGUAACGGCUCACCUAGGCGGCGAUCCCUAGCUGGUCUGAGAGGAUGACCAGCCACACUGGAACUGCGAAACGUUCCAGACUCCUACGUUGGGCAGCAGUGGGGAAUAUUGCACAAUGGGCGCAAGCCUGAUGCAGCCAUGCCGCGUGUAUGAAGAAGGCCUUCGGGUUGUAAAGUACUUUCAGCGGGGAGGCGUUACCCGCAGAAGAAGCACCGGCUAACUCCGUGCCAGCCGCCGCGGUAAUUC
rnacentral:rRNA from 1 species